rnacentral:rRNA from 1 species
CUUUUGAUAAUAAUUUAAGGUUUAACCUGCCCAAUGAAAUUUAAAUGGCCGCAGUAUUCUAACUGUGCAAAGGUAGCAUAAUCAUUUGUUUUUUAAUUGAAAGCUGGAAUGAAAGGUUGAAUGAGAAAAUAACUGUCUCUAUUUAAUUUUUUUUGAAAUUUAUUUUUAAGUUAAAAAGCUUAAAUAAUUUUUGAAGACGAGAAGACCCUAUAGAGUUUUAUAGUUUUGAAUAUAAAAAAUUUAGAAUUUAUUUUUUUUUUGUAAAAAAAAUUAUUUAAUUGGGGUGAUUAAAAAAUUAAAUUAACUUUUUUUUUAUAUUUACAUAAAUUAAUGAUUAUUUGAUCCUUAAAAAGAUUAAAAGAUUAAAUUACCUUAGGGAUAACAGCGUAAUUUUUUUUUAGAGUUCAAAUUAAAAAAAAAGAUUGCGACCUCGAUGUUGGAUUAAAAUAAAUAAUUGGUGUAGAAGCUAGU